UACAGAGGAGCCAAGCGUUGUCCGGAUUGACUGGGCGUAAAGCGCACGCAGGCGGCAUCGCGCGUGGGGUGUGAAAUCUGGCCGCUUAACGGCCAGGCGCCAUCCCAUACGGCGCAACUGGAGGGCUGCAGAGGUCGAUGGAAUUGCCGGUGUAGUGGUGAAAUGCGUAGAGAUCGGCAGGAACACCCAGGGGGAAACCAGUCGACUGGGCAGCACCUGACGCUGAGGUGCGAGAGCGUGGGGAGCGAACCGG
rnacentral:rRNA from 1 species